AAUUGAUCCACCUAUUGUUAAUUAACUGCCAGUUAAGUACAAAUCUCCUUAUUUUUUUCCAAAUUUAAAAUACACUUUUUUCCUAUGAUGCUGUGCCACGCUUAAAAUACUGUUAGAGGAAUUUACCCAAUCUUUAUUUAGAUACGCUUAUCCUGGUAAAAGAUAUAAAAAUAUACUUUUGGUAGCUAAAUGUAAUAGGCUUUUAAUUGUCCUACUUUUACUAAACUUAGGAUCUGAACUUGGUGCAAGAAUGUAAAUUUUUCCCUGAGGUGCCCAGGAUCGUGGUGUUUCCAGAUUGAAAGUACUUAGAAGUCCAGACUUAUUUCAGCAAUUUUCUGUAGUCUGAAUCUAGAGUGAAUAUUCUGUUUCCACUUUCAAAUGUUAAGAAAUAGAUUCUUUUUUUUUUUAAGUCUUUAUCUUAUUUAUUUCUGACAGAAUAUUUACUUAAUCACAUGGUAUUUACUAUGUUUUCUCAAUAGUGUGUGUGCUUCUGCAACUUUUGCAGACAUUGUAAGUCUAUUUGCAGAGUAGAGGCUUUCUGUUAGUCUGGUUAUCUUACAAUUUUCUGAUAAUUAAUGUGACAAAAAAGCUUUUUCUAAACUAAGAUUGUGAUCAUGUGUAGCUUACUUUUGACCCAUUCUAGAGUAGAAAGCAAGCAAUUUUGUUUCAAAUUUUCCACAUAGCUAAUUUUCAGUUCGAUUUAUAUUUUUCAUAAUCCUUUUCAUAUGUUGUUUUCUUUUAACUGAGUCGUACUAUUGCCAUUUACAAUAUCAACCCGCAUAAGACUGAGGAAUAGAGGACAGAAAGGAAAAGUAAGAAUAAACAACUUAUAAUCUUAAUAAUUCUUAAUUAGCUGCUGCUUUGGAUGCUUUAAACAUGGUGAUAAUUAAUGUGGAAAGCUAUGGAAGCCUUCAUAAGCUAGCUUGAUCAUCUGAAGAAUGCCAGUACUUAUUAGGGAAAGUUCAUGAUUCAUACGUAAGGAUUAAGCCAAGAGAAUCUUGUGACCUAAGCAGCCUGGCUCUCCAGUGGUAAAAAUGGGAUUUUCUUAUCUUAGAAAAAAUCAUAAUUGUGGCAGACAGCAGGGAUGGGAGCAGACAGGACACGUUUGGUUUAGGAGUGAGCAGCACACGGGUGGUGGGGAAAUCGCUGUUUUGGCACACUGCUGGUACCAUGAUAGAAACACCAAGUUAAACUGCAGCACACAGAGUGUUCCACAGGGAUGAAUCAGAACAUUCCUGAGAAACUGUAGUGAGGAGAAUUGUAACAUGAAAUGUGAGGAGUUUUUAUGUUCAAUGUCUGAAAUUUUUAGUCAUUUGCCUGAUUGCUCUUCCCUGGGUACUAAGCACUUAAACCCAAACACAUGAACAUUUGUCACAGUGUGGUAGGUGGACAAUUCUGGAUGUAAGAUUUGGAGGGAUGACAUGAAAUCUGAUUCUUCCUCUAAUAGUAAAUAUUGACUUGACAGAGUCAGUCAGCUUCAAUACUUCAAUUUUCACAACUGAGUUAAUAAUUUAACUUUUGAUCUGUAUGUUUGGAGCCUUGAAAAAAAAGGCCUUCAAAAUAUGAACAGAAGGGGUGCACAGCCUAAGUGAGCACUGCAAACCACCUCCCUGAGGCAGUCACAUAAACACACUAUGCUUUUGCAGAGCUCAUUGACAUAAACAGUCUUGGUUAUAUUUAGAUGCCUUGCCACCUCUAUUCUUUCCUUUUUUUUAGUGCUCUAUCUCACUGCAUUUGACAAACUGAAGGGGAAAAUAAAAGUACAAAAGCUGUAACCAUCAUCACUUUUUAACUGGAACCUGCAGUCAUGAGCAUGAGAAAAGUAAAACAUGUAUCGCUUUCAUUUCUUUUUAAGAAUGGAUGAAUAUCAGCAGGCAAAAAUUUAUCCAUCGUAUGUAACUGAUGAUCCUCUUGGCUUCUUUAAUAACCAUGCUGGCAAAUUCCUUAGCCUCCCCAAUGCUGAGAUUUCUGGCAGUCAUUUGAGGGUUUCAGUGAUAGCUUUUGUGGGAACUGCAGAGGUGGGGUCACAGCAGACUCCUUUCUGUGCAUUCCUGUUUCGUACAAAGCAGUCAUAAGGCAUGAUGAUGCAAGGGACAUACAGUGACAGGCUCACUUUAAUAUUACAUCAGGGAGUUGGUUUGAGUUCUGGGGAGGAAAUACAUUUAAAGCUUCAUGCAAAGAGAUGGUUUGUAGGAAAAAUUUCCCAUCGUUACACUCCAGUACUUAGUCACAGCAUCUCAUAUUUCCGUAUAUUCGCACCUUCCUUUGUGAUCUUGUUGCAUUGUGGUUGAAAUAAAAAAAUCAUACAAUGAAAAAUAUAAUCCACAGCACUAUAAAGAGCAAAUUCCAUUACUACUAUUAAUGGUAUCUUUGGUAUUAUUAGCUAGAGACGUUUUAUUUACUAGUAUCUAUUCCUAUAAUCAGUGUAUAUGCAAGAAGGUGUCUUAGAAGGUUUGUGAGGAUUAUAUAAAAAAAAUCAAGAUUCAAAAAUCUCUCUGUACAGUUUGUAUUGGGAAAAGUAUUUAGUUCAUGUUUUAUUCUUAUUCCAAAGUUAUACUCAUUGUGAAUACCUAAAUAUACAGAAUAUACGUAAUCCUGACACUUGUACGGACACGAAUUACCUCACUUUUCAAAACAGCUUUAAAUAACAGAAUAUUUUACCCAUAAGAAAAGAAUAAGCAAAAUUAAGAUUAUUACAAAAUUUAGAUAUUUCAAUUUUCCCAUAAGCAUUGCAAAACAAUUGCAAUAUAUACUUUUAUUUAUUUUCUGUUGAGUAAGAAGAAUAAAAAUUCCUCUGUUCUACAUGGCAUUGUAUCCAGGCAGUCUUGUUUUUCUGUGGAGUUCCAUCACUGAAUUAUGUUCCAUGAAGAUUGCAGGGCUUCUUGCAAAAUGACAGUUUGCAGAGGGAAGAAUAAUACAUUUAUCUGUCAUAAAUAAAAACUACUUAACAAUGUUAUGCAGGUUUGCGAUUUAGAUUUUGGAGCCAAAGCCACCGCUACACUUAUUGUCUGCUUUUUUAUGAGUAUUGCCACUAUCCAUAACUCGAAAUAAUAAAGGAUUUCUUCAUAAUAGGAAAUGGGCAGAACAACUCAAGUACAAAGAAAUUGCCAGUAGCAAUAUCUAGAAGGUCAUCAUCCUUAUUUGUUCAGUGUGUUAAUCCAGCUAUCAGAGACUGUUCCAGAGAGAACCUCCUCUGAGACAGGCACCAGCCAUUUUUAUCAACCAGCAUUUACGGUCUCCAGUGUUCUCCAAUCACUCUGCAUUUCAUAGGAGAGGAACCCUUCCUGUUCAGCACAGUUGUAUGAAUUAGGAUUUUAGUUUUAUGAAUAUAACAAAAAUGUUUCACUUUGGUAAAUGAUUAGGCAUGAAAAAGUUAGCAUGGAUAAUUCCUUCACUUUCCCAUACUUCAGACUUACUAAUUCUCCAGAUUCUGCAAGAAUCACGGCCAAAAUCUCUCGAGUUUCAUGUUAUUGCCUGUCACCAGUACUGUUUGCUGUGUUGAAAUGCAACCAAAAUCAUCUUAGGCACACUAAACGUGUUAAAGGGAAUUUGGUCUGGAUUUCCAGCUGAUUUAAAAGCAAAACAGCCUAUUCUUUUCACAGAUUGAGAUUUGGUUUUUAAUUCCCACUGAUUUACGUGACAUUUGCAAUUUAUAAAAGUGAUUUUUAGGGUGAAAUUUAGAAAUAUAAUGUUAUAUAAAUUAUAUAAAUAAGAUAUAAAUAUAAAUAAGUUAUAUUAAGAAGAAUAAAAUGUUAUGUCAAAAUAAUAUUUUGCUGUAUUUCCUUAGAAGCAAAAUGGUCUCACAAAUCAACUUAUUUGAAGGCAUUCUAAACUUAUGGUUGUGUAGAUCAGUUUCUGAUUUCAAAGCCUUGUAGAGAUGUCAGGUAAUAGAGACACCUAUUUCUGCUGGGGUUUUUAUGACUUAUGCCGCAGGGAUUUUUACAACACAAUAUUUAGUGUUGUAAAUACUUUUAUACUGUAGAAAGUUUUACCAAUGUGAUAAUAAUGACAUAAACAUCUUACUGCCAGUAAUUUUACAGAGACCAUGACUGACUGUUUAGUCAUUUAGACUUCAUAUUUGAUCAUGUUACUUCCUGUGAGUUAAAUGUCUAGUUGCUUUAUUUUUUAUGUAAUAUUAGCCUUGUCUGGUUCAAUUUAGAAUGUGUUUAUAGGAGAAAAUUAUUUCUGCAUGAUAAGAGCAUGAUGUUUACUAUAUUCAUGCUCAGUUUUAAUUUGUCAUUUACAGUGUCUGUAGGCUGCAGAAAUAGAUUUUGCAGUUUAUAAAGUGGUGUCAUAAAUAGAACAGGCAGCCACAAUUAGACAAUAUUAGAAUACUCCUUUCUUUCAGGAUUUAUUCUGAUCUUGUAUGUAAGAAAAAUAAUGUUCUGAUUUUUCAUUUUUUUAAUCCUCUAAGGAACAUAGUGACUUUAAGGAUAACUAAUCACUCCUUACUCUGGGUGUCUAAAAUCUAGAGACCAUGAUGAACAAGAGACUAUCAGUGAAGAGUAAAGGUACUGUCAAAGAGUUAUUCAUCCUCUCACAUGAUAAAUAUCUAAGGUAGGUAGGACUCAGAGAGGAAUUUGCUGAAUUUUGAGAUAUUUUAUUCUGAAUCUGGAUUUACCUAUAAAACUAGACACCAUCUUCAAGGGGGUCAAGCUGUUAAGUCACCCUACAAACAUUAAAAUGUGGGUUUUAUAGAAAAAGGGUAUUUCCUUUUCAUCCACUAAAGCAAACCAUAAGUGUGUAUAUAUAGCUAUAUAUAUCUAAAUAGGUAAUGGUUAGGUCUUGCUCCUUAAAUAAUCAUUUGUUGCCAUGAGGCAGAACCAGGUACAAUAUAUUACCUGCAUUCUGACAUUUUGCUCAUUAUUUUAAUCAUUUACCUUUAGACCUUGGCUAACAAGCUAUAUGGCUGUAAAUCUAAAAAUUAAGUAGAAAUAGAUAUUUCAUUUAUAGGAGUACAGAUAAUGUAAUUUUCAUAUUAUAAAAAAUCACUUAAGAAAGAUUUAUUAAAUUUUAAAAAAUUUACUUCACUAAGAACUAAACUAGUCAUGCUCUUAGGAAUUCUUUCUAAUACUGUCCUCAGUUUAUACUCCUCUGUAAAGAACUUAACAUUCAUCUCUGUAGUAAUUUUUUUUCCAUAGAGGAGGACUAUAUUCUUUCAGUUCCACUCAUCUUAACUUUCCAUUUGCUGCUUUAGUAGGAUGUCCUGGUUUAGAACACAUAGGAUUAACACAGCAUUCCAAGUAUUAUAACAGGAAAGUAAUACAUUCAUAAAAAUUCUCAUUAAAGUCCUUAUCUUCAAGUUACAAAAGAAUGCACUUUUAAUGAUUAAAAACCACAUACUGAAGCAGCACAUACUUAGAGAAUGAUUCUGACACUACUUGGGUUGCAUGGAUUUGGGAAGAUCUCUUUCCUACCCCAUUCUUGUGUCUUGGAGCUCUUUUACUCCAGUGAUAAAGACUCAGGAACAUAAUACGUGUUUAGCAAUGCCUAACUAACACAUCUCUCACUAAAACAAAUUCAAUAUGGAAAUGUACAGUUUUAAAUGUAGAAGAUCAAAUUAUAUUGGGGGUUUUACAAGGUGGGUAAGGCUACAAGUACAACUAAAUAGCACCUUUGCAUCAAAGGUGCUAUUGAUUUCUUGCAAUUUAUAUAUUGCAAGAUUUAUGUCUUUUCAUAAUAAUGAACAGUGAGAAUUCUUAAUCCAUACUAUAUUAUUUUUAAAAUUCAGCAGGAACUCUGUAAUUCUAAUCACAACUGGAACACAUGAUGUAAGACCAGACUAGGUGCACUAACUGAUUAGAGAUAAACACCAGAGCUUGUUGGGAUGAAUUCCUGUGCAGUGCUCCUGGUAUACCACCUCAGAGCCAUUACUUCAGAACAGUUUCUCCACCUCCAAGUAAACAUAAUUCCCUACAACACAUUCUGAAAUGCGGAGUUUCAGAAUGAGGGCCUGCUCCCAAUAUGCAUUCUCCAAAAAAAAAGAAACAAACACAAAUACCAACCAACCAACCAACCAACGAAAAAAAAACAAAAACAAAAACAAAACAAAAAAAAACCAACCACCCCAAAAACAUUACUGCUUGGCCUAUUGUUUUAAAUGAAGGGGUCCUUCAAGUGCCUUUGUAGAUUAAUUUUGCAAUUAUGUGUGAGACCCAACCUAACCUAACAGAACCUGAUUUAAAAAGCAAAAACAAGCAAACAAACAAACAAAACAAACAAAAACCCCAAAACUGCAGGAAAAAAUAGGCAGGAAAAUUAGUCUAAAGUGCUAUAUAAGUGAUCUUUCAUGAUAUAUGAACUUUAUCUUACCAUAAACAUUACAUCUGUCAGACCUAAUAUAACAGAAAUGUUACCAAACAAUAUUCUCUUCCAUUUUAUCUUUGUUUUAUUAGCUCCUUACAGCACAGACAAAGCAAAAUAUUCUUAAAGCUCAGAAGACAAAUGCUAUCUCUCUGUUUUCUGUGCUUGCCAUAUGUGAUCUAUUCAUAUUAGGAAAUACCCUCAGCUGAGUUGUUGGUGUGAAGUUGGAAGGCAGUUGAUUCUUUAAGCAGUGUGAUGCUCCUGUAGGCAGCCAGUCAGCUCAUCUGGAACAUUUCUCCUUGUUCCUGCAUUCUCACAGGUUACUAUUUAUGAUGCAGGCCUGCAUAAGUUCCCAUAAUGAUCCAUUAGGAUCCUGCUUUCUACAUACCACAGUCAGGGUACAGUAGUUUUGUAAGAUGUGUUACCUGCUGAUUAUCACAAUAUAGACAUUGAUAAAACAGAUACCUGCUGAUUGUCACAACACAGAAGUCUGCUGCUGUUAAAUAACACACAUUUUGGAGGAAUUUCAUUGUACUGCAAGAAGCUUUUAACUCCACAAAGACUUAAAUUGAAAUGUGCAUCUUAUAGACCAUCUUCCCAGACUGCUCACAUUCUGAAUCUCAGAACUGCUCUUAGCACCAGUUGCUUAAUAGUGGAGCUGUUUCCUGUACCAAGAGACCUCUAAUUUUAGUGUCCUGUUUUAUGAAGGCCAUCUCCCUCACCUGAAUUUGCAUGUACAUGUCACUGUCUGGUCUGUUGUCUAAAUUUUAAUAUUAUAUAUUGGAGAAUCAGAAGCAGUCAGAAUAAGCAACUAAUAUGUGAAUUUCAUAAAUGGCUGAGUGAAAAAUAAUUUAUUAAACUGAACUUAUUUAGUUAAUUGAAAAUAUCUAAAAUGCCAAUAGCAAUAUUUCAGUACUAUUAGCCUCAGAGUAGUUAAAUUGCAAAAAUAGUAAUCUCUAGUUGGUUAAUAUUAAUAGGUGAAUAAAUAUGGUACCAAGAAAACUUAAUAUUUUCAAGAAAGCUAAGAAUCUGCAAAUAAACAAUUUCUGCCUUGUAGCAGAAUAUGAUUCAGUGUCUAAGAAUACAGAGGGGGGAAAAGCCCUUGCUCUUUCUCCUUCAAAACAGACAGGAGUGUGUUUACUUCCACCAAAUAUCCACAUGUGUGACACUCUCUGGUGGAGCAUUCAGUUGCUGUAAAACUUUUUAUUCUUUUCCAUAAACAUCCUGCACAUGCAUCUCCUGUGACCGUGCCCUCAGUUAAGCAGGAAGUCCUGAAAGGCUGUCAAUGUAUUCAGUCCUAAGCUCCCAGUGGGAAGCCAAGGCAAAGACAAAAUACUUAUACAAUGGGCAAAGGUACCUCCAUUCCACAGUGCCAAACGACCAUAAAAUCCAGAAGUUCCUAGUCCUUACCCUUGCCCUACUUCAGACAUCUGGGAAUCAUUGAAGUCUUGCAAAUAACUGAAAAUAUUACCUGACUGGUCACUGAUCACAUCUUGCUAAAGUGCACAUUUGAUCUUAUCCUGAUUUUCUUGUCCCUUUUACCCCAUAUUGAGAGACAGGAUAUUAAAAUAACUUCUUAUGCCUUUGACAAAGUGUAACAACAUUUGCCAGACAAAAUGUCAGAAUUUUCUUCUAAAUGUGUUAUUAUUAUUAUUUCUCUAGAGCUAAAAAUUGGCAUACCACAAAUGUCAGUGGUGCCUUAAAGUCUAAGUGGGGGAAAGGAACUAUAGAAUAGUAUGGUUACUUUUGUAGGGGAAAAAAGAAAUUCUAAAAUAAUUGUUCAAUAAAAUACAAAAAAGUCAAUACAAUAGAGGAGAUAUGUCUCUUCCUAUAAUCUAGGAAGACAUUUUUGCUUACGUUUUUAUAAUCUGUGAUUAAUAUACCCACAUCCAGGUUUUGCCAGUAAACUCUGAUCCUACAUCGCUGCGUUAUGCCUUUGUUUCUCCUUGUUUAUAUUAUACUGCAUUGCCUUACAGAAAGGAAACUAAAAGUGACAUUUGGGAUGUAUGGCAGGAUUUUUAAUAUUUGUUUUGGGAAGUCCUAGUUCAAAUGCAGAUUUGGUGACAAUACCAAGGGACAAACACUAUCAAUUUGUAACGCAUGAAGGUCUACAUCAGAAAAAUAAUCAGGCAAGAAUUUAAUUAGGCAAGUGCUAAAUCAAAUGAUACUUAAGUACACUGCAUUCAGUAUUCAAUACCUACAACAGACAAAAACAUGGAGACAAGAUCUCAACAUCCACAGUUAGUGUGAAAAGACACCAAGCAGAAGUGACUAAGUCACUAAAUCAAAUUCUGCCUGUUGUGCAAUGACUUUAAGAGUUCCAUAUGAGUGUAGAAUUCAGCCUUCUACAUCUGUACCACCUGAAAAUACAGACCCACAGAGCAGUGGUGUAAGUUUACAAAGGAGACAGACAUAUUGAGGAAUUUACUACAGACAGAAAGAAAAAUUGUCUACAGCAAUGUCACUAAGAAUAGAAACCUUUUUUUCAGCAAAACUGUUUUUGGCAUGGAUGAGUUAUUUUUCAUUUUUCAGCAGCACACCAGAACUUUCUACCAUGUUUAUCUCUUGUUCAAAUGAACUAAUAAAUUGAUACAACUCUUAACACCCCUUAUCAACUUGUCACGCAUGGCAGUGUUUGUUAACUUGCAACAAGAAAAUGUUUAUCUGUUAGCUACAGUCAAAGCAAGAGCAGAACUGAAAGUCGAUGUAAGAAGCAGCUGGCAGGUGGCCUGAAGUCUAAAACUUAGCUUUACUUUUCUAUUUUUUGGUUCCCAUGCCUUUUUUUUCCUGUAUUUCUCAUGCUAAAGAUUGGCAAUAACUAUUUAUAGCCUAAAAAUAUUUCAGAAUCAGGUAGAGCACCUUGAAUUUAUUAUUUGUUGUUUCCAACUUUUUAACACCUGAGUGCUAAACACAUACAUCAGGACUGGGAGAUGCAGAAUCAUCUUACAGAACAGAAACAAAGUCCCUGUCUCCCAAAUAUGUUUAAAACUCCAUGUUUCUGCUGUAAUACUGCCAUAGUCUGGUGCCUUAGCAUAAAAUACUUAAUUAUUUUCAAGUGUUCUGUAGGCAGAAUAGAAAAAUUCAUUCUUCUGUUCUCAUGAAAAUAUACAAUAAUGUCAAUAACACCUGAUACUGUGUUUCAUUAGAAAUGUUACCUUUUUUGUGCAAUGAGAUAAACUUGCUAUUACAGGAAUUGUAAUAUACUCAGCAGAUUUGCUGUUCAAGGGUAUAUAUAAUAUAUAACACUCUGCUUUUAUUAAUUCCUAGUGAAAUAAUUUAAAAUUGUGCCAUUAAAGCAUGACUUUUGUUUUGUUUGCCAACCAGAGUUGUAGGUAGUUUUUCAGUUCCAGUAUUAACAGUGAUAAAGGAAAUUCUCUUUGGGAGUCGGGUGAGACAAAACUCAAGAUGCAGCAGUUCACCAUGUGUUGCUAUCUUGUGGGUCUUGUGCUAUCCGACAGCUGAGAAAAAAGGCAGUGAGACCAUAAAAUAGCAAUAAAAGUGCAGUGCGCUGUGCUGCUGAGCAGUCGCAGCUGCAGCACAAAGGACAGAGGCACAGGGCGGCCCCGCAGGAGGGACCGGGGUCCCCCAGGGGCUGCCAGGCACGUCCCCCGGGCUGAGGUGUGACAGCCCGGCAAAGGUGGCCCUGGGGACACUGCAGGCACGGCCGGGUCCUGCUCGACGGGAAAAUCCAGAGGCUUGAGCUGCCUAAUGGGUAACUGGAAGACUUGCAGGCUCCAGGAGAACCUGCCACCUAGCAGGAAUAAACUGUGCCUGGGAGAUCCCUGGCCAUGUCUCCCUUGGAGAGAGGAGCUGUAGGCCAUGACUGCGUUCCCACCUGACUGUGCCUUCCUCAGAAGCCUCAGCAAGAGGUAGAAGACCUUUUGAGUUGAGUAAGCAUAGAAUAGCUGACAACCCACAAUGUCUUCUUCAGGUUUAAUCAUAAUUUUAUUCUGAGACUGUAUAAAACAUGAUUUGAACAUUUUGGUGCAUUUAAUUUAAAUAAAUGUACUGGACAGAUCUA